rnacentral:snRNA from 1 species
CUCAUUUUUGGCAUGGAAUAUACUACAAUUGGAAAGAAAAGAAAAGAUUAGCAUGGUCCCAGUAGAAGGACAACACACAAAUUCAUAAAGCAUACCACAUUUUU